rnacentral:rRNA from 1 species
AGUGAACGCUGGCGGUAGGCCUAACACAUGCAAGUCGAACGGCAGCACAGUAAGAGCUUGCUCUUACGGGUGGCGAGUGGCGGACGGGUGAGGAAUACAUCGGAAUCUACUUUUUCGUGGGGGAUAACGUAGGGAAACUUACGCUAAUACCGCAUACGACCUACGGGUGAAAGCAGGGGAUCUUCGGACCUUGCGCGAUUGAAUGAGCCGAUGUCGGAUUAGCUAGUUGGCGGGGUAAAGGCCCAACAAGGCGACGAUCCGUAGCUGGUCUGAGAGGCUGAUCAGCCACACUGGAACUGAGACACGGUCCAGACUCCUACGGGAGGCAGCAGUGGGGAAUAUUGGGCAAUGGGCGCAAGCCUGAUCCAGCAAUACCGCGUGAGUGAAGAAGGCCUUCGGGUUGUAAAGCCCUUUUGUUGGGAAAGAAAAGCAGCAGGUUAAUACCCCGCUGUUCUGACGGUACCCAAAGAAUAAGCACCGGCUAACUUCGUG